AGCUAGCAUUUCAUCCCUUAUGUGUUUAGGUAACUGAUUUCUUGCAGCAAACUGGGAAGCAGCAUGGACUGUGUCUCUCUGCAGCAUUGGAGAAAGGAAAUAUCAAGAAAUUUUUGAGAAACCGACAACAACAUUGAAACAAAAGCAUGCUGAUGAAAAAGGGCUGUGUUGGCAUCACCCUCGCUUAACCAAGAGAUGCGUGAACGACUUCUAGCAAUUGUACGCUGCAGCGAUGUAAGAGCCAAGGAGUAGGGCUUAAGCUUGUUGCGCAGCCUUGUUUCAAGUGUAUACAGAAGUUAAGAUGGAGGUGCUGACCUAGCUGCAAUCCUUUUUGGAUUAUCCACUAGAAGAUACGAUUUCUGAUCCAGAUAUGCUAUAAAAAAAGUGAGAAUGAUAUCGAUUGCGAAGAUGCUAUCGACAAUAGUCUCAACAAGAAAAAGUUCCCAUGAGAGAUGUCUCAGAAAUGCUAGUUCAAAUGGGCAGAUCCAUGCUGAGGAAACAACAAGAACAAGCAAGAAUAUCUCCCAGAUUCUGCUGAGAUUGGUUUGCUCUUGCUCCUAGAGAUGGGAGUAGAUCAUUGUGGAAUAUAUUGCUAAUAUCUUCCAUUGGACGAACAAAGGUGUGCUGGUUAAUGAAGCUCUGUGUGACAACUAUUAAAAAAAGGAGGGUGAAGAAAUUGUGCAGAUUAGAUGGCUUUGGUCUGGACGUUUGGCCUUCCUAACAAGUCACAACCUACUAACUGCCUUCCAGAUUCUGAUCUUUUGUCACAGGCUGCCUGUGGGUGUGCACCUUGGCUAGAAGCCUGGCUCAAGACUUGGCUGACAUUUGUUGUACCUUUGACUUCAUCACAUGUAGCUAACUCGUGAUCCUGGGUUCUAGAGAUGAGCACCUGGAAAUGAAAAUGUUGAUUGGUGAAGAAUAAAGAUAGCUCACGGGGUUCUCGCCUCUUCUCAUUGCUGCUAAAUUGCAUUCCAUGUGAUCACCCAGCAAUAUAUCCUACAAGGUUUCUCUUCUACAAGUUGCAAUUUAAUGGGACUCUUGAAAACGAAUGUAACUGGCUAUUGAUCAAGACCAUGGUAGCCGCAUUCUUUAUUGACGAAAUAGAUUGAAUUAGGAAAAACCAUGAAUCCCUUUUUGUGGAUCAUGGCAUGAACUGAGGGCAAAUAAGAAACCGCACCUGGCAUGGUUACCUUAGAUCGUACCGUGAACCUUAUUGUUCAACAUAUUAAACUUUCCCUUUCUUUU